UACGAAGGGUGCAAGCGUUACUCGGAAUUACUGGGCGUAAAGCGUGCGUAGGUGGUUCGUUAAGUCUGUCGUGAAAGCCCCGGGCUCAACCUGGGAAUGGCGAUGGAUACUGGCGGGCUAGAGUGCGGUAGAGGAGAGUGGAAUUCCCGGUGUAGCAGUGAAAUGCGUAGAGAUGUGGAGGAACACCAGUGGCGAAGGCGACUCUUUGGUCUGUAACUGACGCUGAGGCGCGAAAGCGUGGGGAGCAAACAGG
rnacentral:rRNA from 1 species